rnacentral:rRNA from 1 species
GUGCCGCCGCAAACGCAGUAAGCAUUCCACCUGGGGAGUACGUUCGCAAGAAUGAAACUCAAAGGAAUUGACGGGGANCCGCACAAGCGGUGGAGCAUGUGGUUUAAUUCGAAGNAACGCGAAGAACCUUACCAAGUCUUGACAUCCGCCUGACGGCCGGUAACGCGGCCAUUCUUCGGG